GUGGAUCCCUGGGUGUCGGUAAGAGGGCCGGCUUUUUAGUCGAAAGCCUGCGCAGUAACGUUGAAGUUACCUGCAUAAGGGUGUCCGCAGAGAAAACUCUAAAGAAGAUCAUUUGAUUUGGCUUUCUAUGAUCUCUUUGGCAAAAGAUUAAGUUUUUAUGCCAUAAAUUUAGUGAACUGAAACAUCUUAGUAACUAAGGACAAAAAGAAUCAAAAGAGAUUUCUGUUAGUAGUGGUGAGCGAACGCAGAUCGAGGUCUCAGUAUCCAUACAAAAUCCUUAGAGGGUGCUAAGUCCCGUUCUUUGGUGUACUGAAACCUUUUAGGGUUUAAGUAUAGUAGAAAAAGCCUUUUCUGCUAGAAUAAGGGGAACCAUCCUCUAACCCAAAAUUACUUUCGACAACCGAUAGUGAAUAGUACCGUGAGGGAAAGGUUGAAAAGAGCUUCCUUGUAAGCAGUGAAAUUUAGAUUUGUGAAACCCUUUUUGAUUAUCUAUCUUUAUCAAGAUGUACCUUUUGUAUAAUGGUCCAGCGAGUUUUUAGUUGAAGCAAGCUUAAAAGAUUUUUCUUGUAGGCGUAGUGAAAGCGAGUUUAUUUAGAACGUCAGUUUCAACUUUAAGAUCCGAAACGAAGUGAUCUAGCUAAAGUCCGGUUGACUGAGAUUUAUUACGUCUCUUGAGGACCUAACCCGUCUCUGUUGCAAUAGGGUGGGGUGAACUUUUGCUAGCGGUGAAAUGCCAAUCGAACUUCGAGAUAGCUGAUUUUUCGCGAAAUAUAUUUAGGUAUAGCUUCUCUUUACCGGAUCGAAGGUAAAGCACUUUUUGGGAAUCCGGGGGGCUUUUGCCUUACCGAACCCUUGAAAACUCUGAAUAUCGAUCCUUGGUUUAUUGUGGAAGUCAGACUUAGGGUGCUAAGAUCAUAAGUCAAGAGGGAAACAGCCCAGACCGUUGAUUAAGGUCUCGAAUACUCUAUCAGUGAAAAAGCGUCAUAAAAUUUACGACAGCAAGGAGGUAGGCUUGGAAGCAGCCAGCCUUUAAAGAAAGCGUAACAGCUCACUUGCCCAUUGAUUUUUGGUGCUGAAAAUUUAUAGGGUCUUUAGAGAGUAACCGAAGUCGCGGUA
rnacentral:rRNA from 11 species